GGAGAAUUGGCUGUUAUGCGCGGGAGGCGGGCCCGUAGUAAGCCGAGCCACGCCUCCUGUUUAAAGGACGAUGACUGGGACCGGGAAGCCUCCCCGUCCGCCGCCCCGAAACUCGUACCCGGCCUUCCUCCCAAACCUGUCGGUUCUCUGCUUUUCAAGUUUGAGCUCGGCCCUCAUCAGAAAGACAAAAACUGGGGGGGGGGGGGAACAAAAAGGAUCUUGACCGAGACCCCCUCCCCCAAGAGA